rnacentral:tRNA from 1 species
UCGUUGUGUACGUCGGGUUCGUGGUCGCCGUGGCGUUCUGGCCGUCGCCGAAAACACUUGCGCACCUCGUGGCGCUGUCCGCGGCGGUGCU